CGCCAGACUCCUACGGGAGGCAGCAGUGGGGAAUAUUGCACAAUGGGGGAAACCCUGAUGCAGCGACGCCGCGUGAGCGAUGAAGUAUUUCGGUAUGUAAAGCUCUAUCAGCAGGGAAGAAGAUGACGGUACCUGACUAAGAAGCCCCGGCUAACUACGUGCCAGCAGCCGCGGUAAUACGUAGGGGGCAAGCGUUAUCCGGAUUUACUGGGUGUAAAGGGAGCGUAGACGGCGAUGCAAGCCAGAUGUGAAAGCCCGGGGCUCAACCCCGGGACUGCAUUUGGAACUGUGUGGCUGGAGUGUCGGAGAGGCAGGCGGAAUUCCUAGUGUAGCGGUGAAAUGCGUAGAUAUUAGGAGGAACACCAGUGGCGAAGGCGGCCUGCUGGACGAUGACUGACGUUGAGGCUCGAAAGCGUGGGGAGCAAACAGGAUUAGAUACCCCAGUACAU
rnacentral:rRNA from 1 species